AUGGAUUUUAAAGACAUUGUUGAGAAAGCAGAGGAGAGCCUUUACAUGACAGAAAAUAAACGACUACAAGAUGCAAAAAAUAUUAUUUCCAAUGUUAGUGAUGGAAAAGUUAAUAUUGAUGAUCUGCCAAGUACUCUGGAGAGCUUGGGAAUUGAUUUAAGUGAAAGAGAUAUCAAAAAAAUACUGGAAUCUGUGGAGCCUUUGGCUGAAGAUGGAAUGGUGGAUUUUAAGGAUGUUGUCAGUAAAGUGGCUGAAUUACGAGACACAAAAAAGAAAAAACGUGAGUAUUGA
rnacentral:lncRNA from 1 species